GAAUUCUAUACAUGGGGAUUGACGACAAAGCAGCAGAUGCCUUGUCCAGAAGAGAACACGAAUCUAAUUCUCAGGUACUGGGUAUCUCUACUAGAAUAGCGCCUAGCUGGCUACAAGAGGUACAGAAGUCUUAUAAUGGGGAUGAUGGAGCUCAACAAUUAAUAACAGCUCUUAUGAUAAAUUUUAGUUCGGUUCCCAACUUUUGUUUAUCAAAUGGUAUGCUGAAAUAUAAGGGGA
rnacentral:misc_RNA from 1 species